rnacentral:rRNA from 1 species
AUUGAACGCUGGCGGCAGGCCUAACACAUGCAAGUCGAACGGUAACAGGAAGCAGCUUGCUGCUUUGCUGACGAGUGGCGGACGGGUGAGUAAUGUCUGGGAAACUGCCCGAUGGAGGGGGAUAACUACUGGAAACGGUAGCUAAUACCGCAUAACGUCGCAAGACCAAAGAGGGGGACCUUAGGGCCUCUUGCCAUCGGAUGUGCCCAGAUGGGAUUAGCUAGUAGGUGGGGUAACGGCUCACCUAGGCGACGAUCCCUAGCUGGUCUGAGAGGAUGACCAGCCACUCUGGAACUGAGACACGGUCCAGACUCCUACGGGAGGCAGCAGUGGGGAAUAUUGCACAAUGGGCGCAAGCCUGAUGCAGCAAUGCCGCGUGUAUGAAGAAGGCCUUCGGGUUGUAAAGUACUUUCAGCGGGGAGGAAGGGAGUAAAGUUAAUACCUUUGCUCAUUGACGUUACCCGCAGAAGAAGCACCGGCUAACUCCGUG